CAAUAGCGUAUAUUAAAGUUGUUGCAGUUAAAAAGCUCGUAGUUGGAUUUCUGGUGGGAGCGAUCGGUCUGGCGCUUAGCGCGAGUACUUGCAUCGUCUCCGGCCAUCCUUGGGGAAAGUCUGUCUGGCAUUAAGUUGUCGGGCAGAGGAUCCACAUCGUUUACUGUGAAAAAAUUAGAGUGUUCAAAGCAGGCUUAUGCCGUUGAAUAUAUUAGCAUGGAAUAAUAAGAUAGGACUUUGGUACUAUUUUGUUGGUUUGCGCACCAAAGUAAUGAUUAAUAGGGACAGUUGGGGGUAUUCGUAUUCCGUUGUCAGAGGUGAAAUUCUUGGAUUUACGGAAGACGAACUACUGCGAAAGCAUUUACCAAGGAUGUUUUCAUUAA
rnacentral:rRNA from 1 species